GAUUUACAUUUGAGUGAGUGGCGAACUGGUGAGUAACACGUGGGAAACCUGCCCAGAAGCGGGGGAUAACACCUGGAAACAGAUGCUAAUACCGCAUAACAACUUGGACCGCAUGGUCCGAGCUUGAAAGAUGGCUUCGGCUAUCACUUUUGGAUGGUCCCGCGGCGUAUUAGCUAGAUGGUGGGGUAACGGCUCACCAUGGCAAUGAUACGUAGCCGACCUGAGAGGGUAAUCGGCCACAUUGGGACUGAGACACGGCCCAAACUCCUACGGGAGGCAGCAGUAGGGAAUCUUCCACAAUGGACGAAAGUCUGAUGGAGCAACGCCGCGUGAGUGAAGAAGGGUUUCGGCUCGUAAAACUCUGUUGUUAAAGAAGAACAUAUCUGAGAGUAACUGUUCAGGUAUUGACGGUAUUUAACCAGAAAGCCACGGCUAACUACGUGCCAGCAGCCGCGGUAAUACGUAGGUGGCAAGCGUUGUCCGGAUUUAUUGGGCGUAAAGCGAGCGCAGGCGGUUUUUUAAGUCUGAUGUGAAAGCCUUCGGCUCAACCGAAGAAGUGCAUCGGAAACUGGGAAACUUGAGUGCAGAAGAGGACAGUGGAACUCCAUGUGUAGCGGUGAAAUGCGUAGAUAUAUGGAAGAACACCAGUGGCGAAGGCGGCUGUCUGGUCUGUAACUGACGCUGAGGCUCGAAAGUAUGGGUAGCAAACAGGAUUAGAUACCCUGGUAGUCCAUACCGUAAACGAUGAAUGCUAAGUGUUGGAGGGUUUCCGCCCUUCAGUGCUGCAGCUAACGCAUUAAGCAUUCCGCCUGGGGAGUACGGCCGCAAGGCUGAAACUCAAAGGAAUUGACGGGGGCCCGCACAAGCGGUGGAGCAUGUGGUUUAAUUCGAAGCUACGCGAAGAACCUUACCAGGUCUUGACAUACUAUGCAAAUCUUAGAG
rnacentral:rRNA from 1 species